rnacentral:rRNA from 1 species
GACGUAGGAGGCGAGCGUUGUCCGGAUUCAUUGGGCGUAAAGAGCGCGCAGGCGGCUUGGUAAGUCGGAUGUGAAAUCCCGAGGCUCAACCUCGGGUCUGCAUCCGAUACUGCCCGGCUAGAGGUAGGUAGGGGAGACUGGAAUUCCUGGCGUAGCGGUGAAAUGCGCAGAUAUCAGGAGGAACACCGGUGGCGAAGGCGGGUCUCUGGGCCGAUACUGACGCUGAGGAGCGAAAGCGUGGGGAGCGAACAGG